GUAACAGGGCUGUGAGUGAGCUCUGUCACUGUGAUCAGGUUCCUCCCUCUAAUCCACCAACUUAGUGUUGAUGAGGACUAAACAGAGUUCACAGCCUUCUUUAUACUUGCUGGAGCUCAGAGUCCCUCAACACUGCAGAGAUGACGCCUCUGUUCAUCUCAGCGCUGCUGGCUGCUGUGAGCUUUGAAUGCAGAGCACAAACAGACAGCAUGCUGCAACCAGCAAGAGAAGAGCCUGUUGCUGAAGGACAGACAGUAACACUUGGCUGUCAGUACAACAGCUCUUCAUCAAAUCAUUAUCUCUUCUGGUACAAACAGGACGGAAACAACAGCCCCAAAUUCAUCCUGAGCCGCUUUAAGAUCGGCUUGGGGAAAACAGAGGACGGGGACAGAUUUUCAGCUGUACUGAAUUCAACCUCAAGAUCGGUUCCUCUGAAGAUCCAGAAGCUUCAGCUGUCUGACUCUGCUGUGUACUACUGUUCUCUGAGGCCCACACUGGGUGGUACAAAAUGCUGCUACCAGUCUGUUAACGAGGAUGAAGUGCAGAGAUUCAGGGAGGAGUUAAACUGUGACUGA